rnacentral:rRNA from 1 species
AUAUGGGGGGCCCAUCCUCCAAGGCUAAAUACUCCUGACUGACCGAUAGUGAACCAGUACCGUGAGGGAAAGGCGAAAAGAACCCCGGCGAGGGGAGUGAAAAAGAACCUGAAACCGUGUACGUACAAGCAGUGGGAGCACGCUUAGGCGUGUGACUGCGUACCUUUUGUAUAAUGGGUCAGCGACUUAUAUUCUGUAGCAAGGUUAACCGAAUAGGGGAGCCGAAGGGAAACCGAGUCUUAACUGGGCGUUAAGUUGCAGGGUAUAGACCCGAAACCCGGUGAUCUAGCCAUGGGCAGGUUGAAGGUUGGGUAACACUAACUGGAGGACCGAACCGACUAAUGUUGAAAAAUUAGCGGAUGACUUGUGGCUGGGGGUGAAAGGCCAAUCAAACCGGGAGAUAGCUGGUUCUCCCCGAAAGCUAUUUAGGUAGCGCCUCGUGAAUUCAUCUCCGGGGGUAGAGCACUGUUUCGGCAAGGGGGUCAUCCCGACUUACCAACCCGAUGCAAACUGCGAAUACCGGAGAAUGUUAUCACGGGAGACACACGGCGGGUGCUAACGUCCGUCGUGAAGAGGGAAACAACCCAGACCGCCAGCUAAGGUCCCAAAGUCAUGGUUAAGUGGGAAACGAUGUGGGAAGGCCCAGACAGCCAGGAUGUUGGCUUAGAAGCAGCCAUCAUUUAAAGAAAGCGUAAUAGCUCACUGGUCGAGUCGGCCUGCGCGGAAGAUGUAACGGGGCUAAACCAU